GACGAACGCUGGCGGCGUGCCUAACACAUGCAAGUCGAGCGAGUGAAUCUCCUUCGGGAGUGAAGCUAGCGGCGGACGGGUGAGUAACACGUGGGCAACCUGCCUCAUAGAGGGGAAUAGCCUUUCGAAAGGAAGAUUAAUACCGCAUAAGAUUGUAGCUUCGCAUGAAGUAGCAAUUAAAGGAGCAAUCCACUAUGAGAUGGGCCCGCGGCGCAUUAGCUAGUUGGCGAGGUAACGGCUCACCAAGGCGACGAUGCGUAGCCGACCUGAGAGGGUGAUCGGCCACAUUGGGACUGAGACACGGCCCAGACUCCUACGGGAGGCAGCAGUGGGGAAUAUUGCACAAUGGGGGAAACCCUGAUGCAGCAACGCCGCGUGAGUGAUGACGGCCUUCGGGUUGUAAAGCUCUGUCUUCAGGGACGAUAAUGACGGUACCUGAGGAGGAAGCCACGGCUAACUACGUGCCAGCAGCCGCGGUAA
rnacentral:rRNA from 1 species